CGCGGCCUAUCAGCUUGUUGGCGGUGUAACGGACCACCAAGGCGACGACGGGUAGCUGGUCUGAGAGGAUGGCCAGCCACAUUGGGACUGAGAGACGGCCCAGACUCCUACGGGAGGCAGCAGUGGGGAAUCUUGCGCGAUGGCCGAAAGGCUGACGCAGCGACGCCGCGUGUGGGAUGAAGCAUUUCGGUGUGUAAACCACUGUUGCCCGGGACGAACAGCCUUUUUCGAGAGGCCUGACGGUACCGGGUGAGGAAGCACCGGCUAACUCCGUGCCAGCAGCCGCGGUAAUACGGAGGGUGCGAGCGUUGUCCGGAAUCACUGGGCGUAAAGGGCGCGUAGGUGGCGCGGGCAGUCAACGGUGAAAGUUCGGGGCUCAACCCUGAAUCGGCCGUCGAUACUCCCGUGCUGGAGCACUGUAGAGGCUAAUGGAAUUCCGGGUGUAGCGGUGGAAUGCGUAGAGAUCCGGAAGAACACCGGUGGCGAAGGCGGUUAGCUGGCAGUUGCUGACACUGAGGCGCGACAGCGUGGGGAGCAAACAGGAUUAGAUACCCUGGUAGUCCACGCCGUAAACGAUGGGUACUAGGUGCUUGGGGGAGCGACCCCCUGAGUGCCGGCGCUAACGCAUUAAGUACCCCGCCUGGGGAGUAC
rnacentral:rRNA from 1 species